AUCCUCGUGAAUGCUAACUACUAGGAAAAUAUAAAAUAUGAUCCAACUGAAAUUGGGUCUAUAGCAACAAGCUGUUGGACAUGGAAACCAAGCAAAAGUUGCAUUACUUUAUUUAAAAAAUUAAAUUCAACCUCCAACCAUCUGACUCCCAAGAUUGAAGUUAUCACUAACCAGCUAUACAGGCACAAACCAACUUUUCUCUGUACAACAAAAAAUGCAAAAGCCAAGCCAAG
rnacentral:misc_RNA from 1 species